GGAUGCUGCUCCCGCGACCCGAACCCCGGAGAAGCGGAAGAUAAUGAAUGGAUGGGUGAUAUUAAAAAUGUUUACAAUAUCUAGCUGAAAUGUUUAGAGUAAGCAUGUUAAAAGUAUAAAUUAUUAGAUUUUACAAUACAACAAAACUAAUUAGGCUUACACAGUCUGAUCUCAGACAAGGUUGGAUGUAUUUUCAGCUCAUUUUACGGAUAACCUAAUUGAUUUGUUGUUCUUUGUCUUCAUUCACACAGGUGCUGUGUGAAUGUGGCCUUGCAAAUUGUGUGACAGUUCGUUAUCUACUAGCCGAGCUGGACAUCCUGAGGUUGCAGUCAACUCUCUGAAGAAUAAACGGAAAGGCCAGGAGAAGCCAGCAGCCAACAUCAAGAAGCCCAGGAAGGCAGAAGUUAAUUUCUGUCCAAACAUACCCAGAGGUGAAACAAGAGACAGUAUGGAGGCGGAAAGGGUGGCUCUUCUGACAGAGUUAAAAAAGAAGCGAUUCCAGAGUUCUGAGACAGAUGGCCAGCACUCUUUGAUGUCAGUGAGAUUAACUUGGAGUUUAUGCGACUGACAACUGUACCUCUGACCCCCAAAUUCCUCGGAGAACUGGACCGUCAGACAGACAACCUGAUCAAGGUUUUUAAUGCCAAAGAAUGAAGACAUCAAUGUCAGGCGUGAUUGUGUGAGCAAUGCUGUCUGAGCAUCUACCUCAAUGAAGACCUGGACACACUGGUUAAAGAAUACGUGGUCAAAGGCUUCAUUGGGAAAAGAGCAGUCUCUGCAGUCUCCCCAGAAAUCCCUCUCUAUUAAAGAGUCACAAAACCUUAACCUCAAUGGUGGAUCAACCCAUAAACAUGACAUUGAAUCCAGAGAGGCUGAGGCAGACAUUGCAGAGAAGACCAUGGGCAUCUACACUGUCCGAGCAGAAGGUUCAUGGUCCUGAUGGUAUAGGUGAUGGACGCUUUGCUGAUGUUGUUGUGCUGGAAGGUGUGGAAGUUCUCCAUAACUUGCAGAGUGUCAGCCAUGCAUGCAUGAUGCUUUAUGGGCUAAUUUAUGCACUCAACCUGAGCUAUCCAAAAAGCCUGAAGCGUACAUUCGAGGUGUACCAGAAAAUCUUAAUGGACCUGGACUCAACCAGGCUUUCACCAAAAGUACACUCACUGAAACUCCAAUUGCUCCAGUGAUUUGGUUGUCAAUAAUGCAUUUACACAGCCCCUGCUGGAUUUUUUUUCAACCCCAACAGGAUUUUGAACUUAUUCCUUAGUUCUUGAAGUAUACCUGUUUAAUAAAUUUGUAUCUGUAAAGGAUA